UUGGUCAUGGUCAAACAGAUCAAACCGCGGCCGUUGGUGGCCAUAAAGUUGAUCGCUUCUGGCGUAAUAUGCUCCGCCGCCAUGAUUA
rnacentral:antisense_RNA from 1 species